CGACCGGCGCACGGGUGAGUAACGCGUAUCCAACCUGCCUUACACUCUUGGACAGCCUUCUGAAAGGGAGAUUAAUACAAGAUGUUAUCAUGAGUAAGCAUUUUCGCGUGAUUAAAGGUUUACCGGUGUAAGAUGGGGAUGCGUUCCAUUAGAUAGUAGGCGGGGUAACGGCCCACCCAGUCUUCGAUGGAUAGGGGUUCUGAGAGGAAGGUCCCCCACAUUGGAACUGAGACACGGUCCAA
rnacentral:rRNA from 1 species